UUCAUACAUUUUUGACAAAUUUGACAAACAUUUCUUCACUUCUUGGCAAAGUUUUUUAGUAAUAUGGAAAUUUUAGCUGUUUUCUUUACAAUUCCCAGUGAUUUUAAUGUAUUUUUAACAAUUUUUACAUCAUUUCAUCGCGCUUGUAACUCUCAAAAAGUGCAAAAACUUUUGAAAAUGUUUUAAAAAUAAAAGUAAAAUUAUUGAGUAAACAUUGCUAAAGACAAAAUGGCGACUUCAAAUGUCCUUGUUCACGGAUGACAACAAUCAGAGAUCUCCAUUCCUGAUAAGAAAGAAAGUAGUUUUAUUUCGGAUUUUCGGUGGUGAUAAACAAAUUUUGAAUGAUUAAGUUGGUAUAAUUUCGUUCCUGUAUCCGUAGAAAUUCUGCAAGAGCUAUUCCUGAAUCCGGCAUCUCCUUUAUUAAACUCAUCCACAGCAAAAGGAAGAACCUCAAAACUGCAACUAUUUUCUAUCAUCAAGAUUCAAGAUAAAUACUUCAAAUCUAAAUGGUACUUUCAAUAUCAUCUACCAAAGUUGUGUUAUCGACAAUACCGUAGUAAACCGUACAAUCCUAUGUACAUUUUGGAAUAUGUUCAAAAUCAACUACUCUCUACCAGUCGACAUCUACAGACAACUGAAACAAGGAACGAAAUAAUGGUUCAAGUAAGCGCAGUUGACAAACACAAUAACACAAGGAAUUAGCCCAGUGGAAACUGAAAAUGUGUAUGGUUCCUUACUUAAUUGUAAUUCAUUGAUUUCUCUACGGAUGCGGUGAAGGUGUUGACAGUGGGAAAGUGCAUUGAAAGAUCGAACAAUCGUGAAAAUAUUUAUUCUUGAUAACG